GGAGAGAUGGAUGAGCGGUUUAAGUCGCACGCCUGGAAAGCGUGUACAGGUUCAUAGCCUGUCCGGGGUUCGAAUCCCCGUCUCUCCGCCA
rnacentral:tRNA from 2 species